rnacentral:rRNA from 1 species
UGCAUAGGAAUCUACCUAGUAGUAUAGGAUAGCCACUAGAAGUGGUGGGUAAUACUGUAUAAUCCCUGCGGGGGAAAGAUUUAUCGCUAUUAGAUGAGCCUACGUUAGAUUAGCUAGUUGGUAAGGUAAUGGCUUACCAAGGCUAUGAUCUAUAGCGGGUCUGAGAGGAUGAUCAGCCACACUGGAACUGAGACACGGUCCAGACUCCUACGGGAGGCAGCAGUGGGGAAUAUUGGACAAUGGGCGCAAGCCUGAUCCAGCUAUGCCGCGUGAGUGAGGAAGGCCUUAGGGUUGUAAAACUCUUUCAGUGGGGAAGAUAAUGACGGUACCCACAGAAGAAGUCCCGGCAAACUCCGUGCCAGCAGCCGCGGUAAUACGGAGGGGGCAAGCGUUGUUCGGAAUUAUUGGGCGUAAAGGGCAUGUAGGUGGUUUGGUUAGUUAAAGGUGAAAUGCCAGGGCUUAACCCUGGAGCUGCUUUUAAUACUGCCAGACUGGAGUCCGGGAGAGGAUAGCGGAAUUCCUAG